rnacentral:rRNA from 1 species
UCCGUAGGCGGUGCGGCAAGUCGGAAGUGAAAUCUCUGGGCUUAACUCAGAGGCUACUUCCGAAACUGCCGUGCUCGAGUGUGAGAGAGGCGAGUGGAAUUACGGGUGUAGCGGUGAAAUGCGUAGAUAUCCGUAGGAACAUCCGAGGCGAAAGCGGCUCGCUGGAUCACAACUGACGCUGAGGGACGAAAGCUAGGGGAGCAAACAGGAUUAGAUACCCUGGUAGUCCUAGCCCUAAACCAUCAGGACUUGGGGUUUGCCCUGUACGGGGCAAGUCCCGGAGCUAACGCGUUAAGUCCUGCGCCUGGGGAGUACGGUCGCAAGGCUGAA